rnacentral:tRNA from 2 species
UGCGGGGUAGAGCAGAGGCAGCUCGUCGGGCUCAUAACCCGGAGGUCACAGGUUCGAAUCCUGUCCCCGCUACUA